rnacentral:rRNA from 1 species
GAUGAACGCUGGCGGCGUGCCUAAUACAUGCAAGUCGAGCGAACAGACGAGGAGCUUGCUCCUCUGACGUUAGCGGCGGACGGGUGAGUAAAACGUGGAUAACCUACCUAUAAGACUGGGAUAACUUCGGGAAACCGGAGCUAAUACCGGAUAAUAUAUUGAACCGCAUGUUUCAAUAGUGAAAGACGGUUUUGCUGUCACUUAUAGAUGGAUCCGCGCCGCAUUAGCUAGUUGGUAAGGUAACGGCUUACCAAGGCAACGAUGCGUAGCCGACCUGAGAGGGUGAUCGGCCACACUGGAACUGAGACACGGUCCAGACUCCUACGGGAGGCAGCAGUAGGGAAUCUUCCGCAAUGGGCGAAAGCUUGACGGAGCAACGCCGCGUGAGUGAUGAAGGUCUUCGGAUCGUAAAACUCUGUUAUUAGGGAAGAACAAAUGUGUAAGUAACUAUGCACGUCUUGACGGUACCUAAUCAGAAAGCCACGGCUAACUACGUG